AUGUACUUUCAUGGGGCCCGUUUUUCCAAUUAUGAAGCAUGGCUAAGUGAUCCUACUCACAUUGGACCCGGUGCUCAGGUAGUUUGGCCUAUAGUAGGGCAAGAAAUAUUGAAUGGUGAUGUAGGCGGGGGUUUCCGAGGAAUCCAAAUAACCUCUGGGUUUUUUCAGCUUUGGCGAGCAUCUGGAAUAACUAGUGAAUUACAACUCUAUUAUACUGCAAUUGGUGCAUUGAUUUUUGCAGCGUUAAUGCUUUUUGCUGGUUGGUUCCAUUAUCACAAAGCCGCUCGCAAAUUGGCCUGGUUCCAAGAUGUAGAAUCCAUGUUGAAUCACCACUUAGCGGGAUUAUUAGGACUUGGGUCUCUUUCUUGGGCGGGGCACCAAAUUCUAGCAAGAAUUAUUGCUGUAGGAUAG
rnacentral:rRNA from 1 species